AAUCCAGCUCCUCCGUUUGAGAUAAUCCUUAUUACUGUUAGAAACCUUUCAGUCCUGACCAGCUUCAGGUCUGCUUCAGGUCUGCUUCAGGUCGGCCUCAGGUCGGCCUCAGGUCUGCUUCUGGUCUGCUUCAGGUCUGCUUCAGGUCUGCCUCAGGUCGGCCUCAGGUCGGCCUCAGGUCUGCUUCAGGUCUGCCUCAGGUCGGCCUCAGGUCUGCUUCAGGUCUGCUUCAGGUCGGCCUCAGGUCGGCCUCAGGUCUGCUUCAGGUCGGCUUCAGGUCGGCCUCAGGUCGGCCUCAGGUCUGCUUCAGGUCGGCCUCAGGUCUGCUUCAGGUCGGCUUCAGGUCGGCUUCAGGUCGGCUUCAGGUCGGCCUCAGGUCUGCUUCAGGUCGGCUUCAGGUCGGCCUCAGGUCGGCCUCAGGUCUGCUUCAGGUCGGCUUCAGGUCGGCCUCAGGUCUGCUUCAGGUCGGCUUCAGGUCGGCCUCAGGUCUGCUUCAGGUCGGCCUCAGGUCAGAAUAUGAAUCUCUGAAUCUGAGUUUUAAAAAGUAAGAUUUAUUUUUAUUCCUCAUGAACUUUUGAAAUAAUUAAUAAUGAACAGCUGUUAGACUUCACACCAGCGUAGAUGAUCUCAGUCGCUGCUCUCGUUGGGUCGACUCGUGAAGCAGCUUGAGUUCUGUGAAACGGAGAGACAGCUGUUGUGAAUUGACCCUUUGUCGGUUCUCUGAUUGGUCCACUGACCCACCAAUCAGAGAGGUCCCUCUCAGCAACCAUUGCUGGGAUACCUCCGGUUAGACAAACUGACCUCACCUGCUGUCCUGACCUCAACUGACCUCACCUGCUGUCUUGACCUCAACUGACCUCACAUGAUGUCUUGACCUCAACUGACCUCACAUGCUGUCUUGACCUCAGCUGCUGUCCUGACCUCGCCUGACCUCAC